rnacentral:rRNA from 1 species
UACGUAGGGGGCAAGCGUUGUCCGGAAUUACUGGGCGUAAAGGGUCUGUAGGUGGCCAACUAAGUCAGACGUGAAAUCCCUCAGCUUAACUGGGGAACCGCGUCUGAUACUGGAUGGCUUGAGUGCAGGAGAGGAAUGCGGAAUUCCAGGUGUAGCGGUGAAAUGCGUAGAUAUCUGGAGGAACACCGGUGGCGAAGGCGGCAUUCUGGACUGUAACUGACACUGAGAGACGAAAGCCAGGGGAGCAAACGGG